AACGCAUAUUGCGCUCGAGCCCUCGGGCAAGAGCAUGUCUGCCUCAGCGUCGGUUUACACCCUCACCCCUCCCUUACUGGGUGUGUUUGCUCUGUUUGCAAGCCAUUGGGGUGGAUCUGGCUUCCCCAAUCAAGCCGUUUAACUGCGGCAGGUUGGGUUGGCUGAAGUGCAGAGGCUUAAGCAAGGACCCGAUAUGGGCUUCAACUGGAUAGGUAGCACCGGCUUCUGCCGACUACACGAAGUUGUUGCUUGAGGAUCUUGCUAGGAGCCAAGCAGGAACGUGCCUUUGGCAUGUCUAAACUUUCGACCUGAGCUCAGGCAAGAUUACCCGCCGAACUUAA
rnacentral:misc_RNA from 1 species